UUUUUAUCUCUCUCUCCUUUUUUUUUUUUUUGUUUUGUUUUGUUUUUGUUUUUGUUUUUUGAGUAAAAGAAGAGUCUUACUUUAAUCAAGUUCCAGCAAGAGGGCACACUGCUUUGGAAAGCAUCUGUCUCAGCAGAAAACGCAAGGGUGUGUGUAAAAGAAUGUUUCUAGAAAAUACCAAAGGCACCAAACAGAACAUUAACUUUGCCUUCCAAUUCCCCUCGAUGCCACUGCAUACCCUGGGUGGGGAGGCUACUUCUCCCGCUGACUUUGGGAAUGUCACAGUGCUCCGUAAGGGUGUCCAAGUGUCUGUUGAAGUCCUCCACUCUCUGCUUGUGGAUGCUUUCUUUAGGAUCCUUUCCAUUUGCUGCUUCUCCUGCAUCUUGUCGAAGGCUGCCUGGGCCGGGGUUCGCUUGUUCAGGCCGCACCGCUUCUCCUCCUCCUUCUUUUUUGCUCGUUCCCAUCGCUUCCAGGAGUUUUGCCUUGUCCUUGUCCUUCUUUUUCUUCUUCCACUUGGUCACACCGAGCUCUCCAACACCUUUUAGUUUCAGGGGCCCCUUCUGGAAUCUGCUCGUAGGCCGCCAUAAUGCCGCUUGCUUUUUAUCUCUAUUAUUUAUCUUAAUGUUGUUGUCCUGAAAUAUAUUUUGUUUGAUGUUUACAUAAUUAUCACAUUUUUCUCUUAAUUGCCACUUUCCAAUGUAUCUUUGUUCCAAACUUCCAUUUUCAAGCUGUAUCCUGAGGUGUUUUUAGAUGAGACUUUUAUUUUUUAAUAAAUACUAAAAAUCCUUCUUAUAAAUGGAUCUUUCUUUGUAUUUUUAAUCUUUUAUAUCCCUGCAAAUAAAAUUUUGCAAACAAUAAUAAAAAGUUGAAAUCAGUUGCCUCAGACAACACUAAAACACUAAAAUUCAUGUGACAAAGCAAAGAUUUCUGCAUUAUAUAGCAUAUUUCAAGCCCAACUUACGAAAUUAUUUAGUGCUUAAUGGAUGUUUUUGGGUAUAUUGUGUGUAGUAUGUAUUUAUUCUGUGCAGUAUUGAGUGCAACUUGUCUUGUAUGUUUGAUAUCAAAUAUGUACUGUUAUAUAACUAAAGAAAUCAUUUGUUAAAUGGCAUAGAAACUAUCUAAAUUGGAUCUAGUUGUUAGAGCCCCUAAGUACCUGGCAGAGGCAAACAUAGUAACUAAACUCUCAGAAAAAUAGCAUUAGCAAGAGGUAAGACAUUGUCAGGGAAACAGCUGAGACACUUCUGCAAGAACUGUAAAAUCUCUUUCCUGAACACGCACAGAACUUAACAUUGUUGCUGGUCCAUCAUGUGGAUAUAUCAUAACUGAUUUUCAUUUCAGACAAUAAUUUUUUAUAAAACAUAUGCAAGCCAUUAUUGCAAAUAUCUAAAUAUUGAGAGCUCAGAAGUGAAGGAUAUCUCUAUGUGGAAUAAUUUCUACUAUCCUGUCUCUGUGUGCUUUCUAUUUGUCCCACCUUAUCUGUUUCUUGUUUGUUUACCUUUUUAAAAUAUUGAUUGGAUGCUUUUUCCUCACUCAUUUUCUUUAUAGAUUUGAAAGUUAAAUAUUCUAUAUCUUUUCUUUCACUGGUUACCUUAACGUUUCCAGAUGCCUGCUUAUCAAAAUAUUAAAUUACAAUUUCACUCCUUUUAAACAAUGAUCUUAUUAAAUCUUUAAAUCUGAUCAUGAAUUGCCUGACUUAUAUGUAAUUUUUAUUGGAAGUCAAUGUUCUACCAUGUUUUAAAUCAACAAAAGAAGCAUUGUUUCGUGCAUUCAAAGUUGUUUUUAUUUACCUACAUAUUUACCACUUUCUUUUUUCUUUAAUCCCUUUUGCAUCCUCCAUGUGGAACUGGUUUCCUUUUGCCUGGAGUACAUCUGAUGAAUGUUUUUAGAAGAGUAUCUUUUGAUAUAAACUCUCUCACUUUUCCUCAUCUGAUAAUAUUGUUUUUAUUUUUUCAUUCUUCAAAGUUAUUUUUGAUAAGUAUAUAAUAUCUAGAUUGGUAGGUAUAUUCUCUCACCCCACUGAAAUAUCCUGCUAUUUUCUGGCUUCCAUUGUUGUUCCUGAGAAGUCAAUUGUCUGCCUUCCUUUCCUUCUGGUAGCGUUUAAGAUUUUUUCUGGUAGUUUGUGGCAUUCUGUACUUUAAGGGAAGUAAUGUAGGGGGUAAUUUAUUUUAUAUUUAUUCUACCUUGGAUUCAUGAAUCUGUAAUUGAUAUUUUUCAUCAGAUCAGAGAAUUUCUCCUUCUUUUCUCUUCAAAUAUUGCCUCUACCUCAUUUUUUCUUCUCUAUCCCUAGAACUCCAAUUAUUUGAAUUGUAUUAUAUUUUUUUCAGUCUGUUCUUCUUGUCUCUUUUCUAUUUUCUCUUCCUCUCACUGUGCUGCAUUCUGGAUAAAUUCUUCAGAUCCAUCAUCUAGUUCACUAUCUUCUCAUGAAGUAUCUAUCCAUUAAACAUAAUCACUGUUUUUAUUUCAAUAUUUUUUCAUUUCUGAAAGUUCUAUUUUAUUUUUUAAGUCCACUUGUUUAAUUUCUUUGCACUUUAUAUUUUAACCUUUUCUUUUUUUAAGAUUUAUUGAUUUAUUAAAGAAGAGAGAGAGAGCACUAGCAGGAGGGGCAGAGAGAAAGAGAAUCUCAAACAGACUCCACUCUGAGCACAGAGCCUGACUCAGGGUUCAAUCUCAUGGCCCUGAGAUCACAACCUGAGCUGAAACCAAUAGUUGGACACUCAACAACUGCACCACCCGGGUGCCCCUUAACCUGUUCUUUUUUUAAGGUAUUUUUUAAAAGCUAAAUUGCCAUUUAUUAUGUUUGAUAAAUCCAAUAUCUAAAAGUUUUGCUAGUUGUUUCACUUGUUUUUUGAUUUUGGUUUUUUUUUUUUUUUUUUUUUUUUUUUUUUACUCUAUGGUGCUCAUUCAUAUUGUACUGUUUCCUCCUGUAUUUGUGAUUUUGGCAGUAAGCUCCCAUUCUUUGGAAUGUCAUCUGCAGUAUUCAUUGAAACCUCACUUGAUAGUGGAUAGCAUUUUUU
rnacentral:lncRNA from 1 species